CAAGUGAAUGGCAUCUACCAUCACCAUGACAACGGGUCGUGAAUAGCCAAUCCCAGCCCGCCAUUUCAUCCGGGACCUCAAGAUGACCACACUGAUACAAUAUAGUUUAAUUUCCAGCCAAGAUCAGAGUUAACCGAGACAUAUAUGGUGGAUAAAAAGCUCUUAAAAAUAUGGGUGUUCCGAGGAAAGUAUACCACUAGGGAAUGUGGGUUACAUUAGUAAUGGAGGAAUAUUUUGACAGCAGACGAAACUAAAGUGUUGCCAUGGUGACGGUGGUGGUGGGCAUGAUACAGAUGCGGGAGGUGGAGUUUGUGCCCGAUGGAGACAUGCAGCUGGACAAAUUGUGUUGCUCAUUGGUCAGACUGGAGUUUACAUGUGUACCUCCUUCACCAUCAUUGGUGGACACUUCACCAUGAGUGAUGCUUGAGCUGUCACGGUGCUGCUGCUGUUGUCUGCCAUCAUCCCCCUGACACAGACCACCCUGCAGACCACCUUCAUCCUGGGUGCCACACGUCACUGCUGCUACAACUCAGAGCAACUGGAGCGCAAGCCAGGAAGGGAGUUAGUAACUUUUCACUUAAUUUGUUGUUUAUUUGAGGGCCUAAUGACAGACACAUAAUGGAAUGAGUAUUUGUGAAUGUUUGUUUAUAUCUAGAUACAGCAUUCACAUAUCUUUUAAGUGCCACCUUCCAAAAACAAUGUCAGCCAGAAAAAUAACUGAUGAAUCUAAUUACAUUUCAAGUCAAAAAGUUUUCCUUUAACCACUUUGCUCCAGAUGCUUAAAAACAUGCGUUGCUCACAUACAUGGCGUCGCGUAGGCUCGUGAGUGGUAACUUAUCUAAUUUCUAAUAAUUUCUAAUAUAAUUUCUGUGUGUGUGUGUGUGUGUGUGUGUGUGUGUGUGUGUGUGUGUGUGUGUGUGUGUGUGUGUGUGUGUGUGUGUGUGUUUUAUGUAUGAGUGACACUGGCCAAGGGCAACAAAAAUCCAAUAAAAAAAUAUGCCCACUGAAAUGGCAGUCCCAUAAAAGGGUCAAAGCAGUGGUCAAAAGUUGAUGAAUAAGUGUCUUGAAACCUCCCUCUUGAAGGAAUUCAAGUCAUAGGAAGGUGGAAAUACAGAAGCAGGCAGGGAGUUCCAGAGUUUACCAGAGAAAGGGAUGAAUGAUUGAGAAUACUUGUUAACUCUUGCAUUAGAGAAGUGGACAGAAUAGGGGUGAGAGAAAGAAGAAAAUCUUGUGCAGCGAGGCCGUGGAAGGAGGGGAGGCAUGCAGUUAGCAAGAUCAGAAGAGCAGUUAGCAUGAAAAUAGCGGUAGAAGACAGCUAGAGAUGCAACAUUGCGGCAGUGAGAGAGAGGCUGAAGACAGUCAGUUAUGUUUGUGUGUGUGUGUGUGUGUGUGUGUGUGUGUGUGUGUGUGUGUGUGUGUGUGUGUGUGCGCUGAUGCAGCUGAGAAGGUUGCCUUAUGAUAAUUAUUGACAAAUGAAGGUAAUGGAUGCGCAUGUCAUUACUACUUUUUUAAGUGUGUGUGUUAUGUACACACACACACACACACACACACACACACACACACACACACACACACACACACACACACACACACACACACACAAAGAGAAGUAAUAGACACGCAUCCUUUACCUUCAUUCAUCAAUAAUUGUCAUAAGACGACCUUCCCAGCUGCAUCAUUACACACACACACACACACACACACACACUUACACACCACGUAGUGUAGUGGUUAGCACGCUCGGCUCACAACCAAGAAGGCCCAGGUUCGAAUCCCGGGCACGGUGAGGCAGAUGGACAAGCCUCUUAAUGUGUAGCCCUCUUAAUGUGUAGCCUCUUAAUGUGUAGGUACAGGAUGUAACCCGAGGUGAUGUGACUUUGCUGCCCCGGUGUGUGGUGUGUCAUUGGCCUCAGUCCUACCCAAAGAUCAGUCACCAUGAGCUCUGAGCUCUUACACACACACACACACACACACACACACACACACACACACACACACACACACACACAGAGAGAGAGAGAGAGAGAGAGAGAGAGAGAGAGAGAGAGAGAGAGAGAGAGAGAGAGAGAGAGAGAGAGAGAGAGAGAGAGAGCAAAAUGGCAAUGAAUGAAACAGGGAGGAGGGGGAACUGUGUGUGAAGGAAAACAUCAUCUACGUGAAACAUUUGAUUGAUUAUAAAGCACAUGUGCAUCAUAUAUAGUCAUGAAUGUGGAGGAACAGCAGAGUGAGUGAUCAACCACAGAAAGGAGAGAGUCGGACAUGCGGAGAGAAUGGAAGGGGAACAAUUUGAGAAGAUAAGCAUGCAAAUACAUAAAUAUAAGGUGGAAUAACAGUGUUUGGUGGGAAGAUGAAAGAGAGAUGCCUGUUUAUGAAGCAAAAUGGUUGUGCAAGAGAGGAAUGAUUGGAAAACCAUUCCCACCAAAGCCAACAGACCUUACACCAUAUUUUUACAAACCACAGCAUCUCUAUUCAUCCAUUCUGUGUGUCUUCUCUUCUCUCUCUCUCUCCACUCUUAAUGCUGCUGUGGGUCUCUGGGCUGGAGUACAUCAGAGAAAGAUUGACACCGACUUAUAUAUGAGAGGAUGUUGUCUGUAACUAUGCUAUGGGGACAUUGCAAGUUUGUGGGGUGUAGUGAAUGAAUAAGUGUGUCCUCUAUAGCAUACUUAAAAACCACACUCUCACAUGGAAAUCAAUCUCUCUCUCUCUCUCUCUCUCUCUCUCUCUCUCUCUCUCUCUCUCUCUCUCUCUCUCUCUCUCUCUCUCUCUCUCUCUCUCUCUCUCUCUCUCUCUCUCUCUCUCUCUCUCUCUCUCUCUCUCUCUCUCUCUCUCUCUCUCUCUCUCUCUCUCACUACAGCCUACAGACUCACUAUUUCCUUAACCACACCUCUUGCCUGAAACAAAUUAAAAACUUUUAUCCUUCUCCAAUCACAUUUCAAUUUUGUACUUAGUCACAAUCACACAGUAUAUGUUGUUAAUUUCAACUUUACUUUCAGGUUACCUUCUUGUUGAUGUGCAAUCUUGCUACGUGGGCAAUCAACAUUUAAAAAUAGCAAUGUGGUGCUUCCUUAAUGCAAAUAGUCUUGGCCCAAAAAAACUUUUGAUGUCAAACACUAACUUCUCUUAAAUCUUACUAAAAAGUAUGCGCAUCACUUUCUGAUUUCAUCCCAAUGGCACACAAACCAAAAUACCUGAGUAUGGAGAUGGCUGGACUACCUCCUUUGGCCACCCCUGUUAUAUCUUAAUUUCCCAGUCUUUCCUGUGUGCUGGUUAAGCUACUCACUGCUGAAGUCCCUGGAAACUAGGUAGAAUAAUUUAGAAUGACAUGGUUAAGUUAAUGCUGAUAAAAUCUCAUUUGUAAUAUUCAGGAAGAUUGAAUUAUUCUUCCUCUGUUGAAGCAAAUGAUAUAACAUUGACUAGAAGCUUUCACAAUAUUUAUAAGCUUUCUUGUAUCAGAGAUCUUUUGAAAAUCCAACCAUUAAUUUGUAAAUACUUGUAUAGUGUAGCUGGCAUGAGGGUUGCAGUCUUCAUUAUUUACUAGUGGACAAGCAACAAGUGAUGGUGUGGCUCUGAGCCACUGUAGUAGGGAUGUUAUGGUUUAAGUGUAGGAAGUUGCAAAUGCUCACCUAACAAUUGCACCUUAGUAGAAAAACACAAACAGGAAGUUUAUGCAAGUUUUUAUCCUUAUAUAAAAUGUUGUAUUGCAUCAAACCUCCAUACAUUACUGUCUCUAUCCAGUAUGAGACCGGUGUUCAGGAAGCACAAGCAUGUGCUGAAUAACAAGAAGCCGGCAUUGGUGAAGGUGACAACAUUUCAUCUAUUUAUACAUACUUUUUAUUAUUAAAGCUUAUCUUAUAAUUAUUUCUGAAGAGAUUGACUAAUUUUUGUAGUAUUUAUGACUUAGAACUAUGAUAAAGCUAUGAAUUGAUAUAAUUCCUGAUUUGUUUUAUCUUUUCAUUAUCCUUCCUUUGUUAAUUGAGCAUUUUAUAUUACUUAGCUUAAAAAUGCAAGAACGGUUCAGAAGUAUCCAACCUUGGGCUAAGGGCCAAAAUUAUGGUAUCAUUCAAAAUGUCCUUCAAAGAAAGCCCUCUGUAAUCCAACACACUUAGCCCAUUAAUCCUUCCAUUUCUCAUCAAUUUGUUCAACAUUCAUAUUUUUUCCCUUAUAGGGUUGAACAAUUUUCAUGGGUUCAGAGCAAAAGGCUUCCUCAUUCCUCCCCAAGGUAUUCUCGGAUGGUAAGCAGGUUUGACUCUGGAGCAAACCUGACCAAGGGCUACUGCCCAAGGCUACAGAGGUUCCUCUCCCUGAGGCUGAAUGCACCAUGUGAGAUGGUUCUGUUAUGUGGAUGAAUGUCAUGGUGGAUAGCAGUGCCACCACAUUCCUACAAUCAUCCAUCACUCCACUGCUCAAAUGCUUCUGCAACCAAUGAUAGGUAUGCUGCCACAUUCUGCAUGGUCUCCUUGGCUCUCAGAUAAGGAUACUGUCAACAGGUUUGGGAUUGCCAAAAAAUCAUAAGGAGCUAUGUCUGAAAAGUCCAGAGAGAGAGAGAGAGAGAAAGAAUGAGCAAGAGAAAGAGUAGGAUGAAGCAAAGGAAGAGUCAAGAGGGAGGAAGAGAGAGUAGGACAAGAAAAAACAGAACAAAUAAAUCCCCUACACGUCUUGUCUCCAUUCACACAAGCCAUGAAAAGCUUGUCCAUCCCUGAGUGCUCAGAAGCAGUGUUCCACUGAUGAUGUGGAAACUUGAGACACCCAAUCAUUUAAUGGGCUUUAGUAGGUUUUGUCACCAGUCUUCUGUGUGUCACUGACUACAUUUUGAAAUUUUUAUCUGUUCUAUUUAAUUUUGUGUGUAUGUACACAAUGUUUAUGGUCAAUAAACUAUUUAUAAAACUAUUUAUCUGUGUGAGUAAGAUAAAAGCAGUUAUUGUUAUUAUUAUUAUUAUUAUUAUUAUUAUUAUUAUUAUUAUUAUUAUUAUUACACAUUUUCCUCCUUGUAUUUAAAUAUUAUUAUUAUUAUUAUUAUUAUUAUUAUUAUUAUCAUGAAUUGUUCUUGUUUAUAAAUAAAAUACUGUAACUGA